CCGCGAUCGCUAAGGAAUGCGGCGGCCCCGCAUAACCACGGGGUCAGGGGUCACGGCUCCGGCCUCCGCUUUCCCGCUCUGCUGAGGGACUGAGACAGGACCGGCGGCAGGGCGGAACGGCGAGACGCGGCUUUCCCUCCGGCGCUUGGGAAGAAGAGGAACAAUCCUUCCCCCCAAAAUUGACUUGGUUUCUGUACUUUUUUUCCAAUCUACAGCUCACACAUUAACCUUUGACAUGGCAUCUAGCUUAUUUCAAAUGUCUUUUUGAGUAGCUUCAUACCACCACCACCAUCACCUGUAAAGAGUAACUAGAGAAGAUUCACUGUAAUGUAUAUGUUUAGUACACGCACUGUGGUAAGCAGAAUACUGUCUUCCCUGCUCACCUCAGAUUGUCCAAGCUUUAGUGUCCCUAGAGUAGUGGUGGCAAACUUACGGAAUGCAUGCUACAGCAAGCUGUUUAUAUCUUUGAAAGCUCUAAAAGGUUGACCAUCACUUCCCUAGAGCUUGUGAACAUGUUACAUUUAAUGGCAAAAGGAAUUUUACAGAUGGAACCUUAAAAUAGGGAGACUUACCCUAGAUUUUCUAGGUGAGCCCAGUGUAAUCACAUGGGCAUUUAAAAGCAGAAGAGGAAGGCAAAGACAUUUUGGAGAGAUAAAGUAGAAUUAGAAUCAAAGUUUGAGAGGGACUGUAUUCACCGUUACUAGCUUUGAAAGUGGCCCUAAGUCAGGGAUAUAAACAGCUCCUAAAAUCAGAGAAAAAUCCCUACCAACAGCCAGCAAGAAAACAGGGAUCUCAGUCCUAUAACUUCAUGGAACUGAAUUCUGACAGCCCAGUUGAGUUUGGAAGCAGAGUCUCUAGAAAGAAUAUAGACACCUUGAUCCUAGCCUUAGUCUUGAAGCAGAGAACCAGUUGAGCCAUGCUGCCUCUGGGUUUCUGGCCCAUAAGAAAUACAAGAUAUAAAUGAAUGUUGUUUUAUGCUACUAAAUCUGUGGUAACUUUUUACAGCAGCAAAGAUAGCUAAUAUAGGCACUGUGAAAACACUUUCAUUUAUUUCAGCAAACACUGCCUGGAUCUCAAAGUUGGGUCAGGCCAUAGAGGAAUCCAGGUGUGAAUAUAUCAAGGUGUGAAUAUAUUUGCCUUUGCAGAAUCAAACAGGAACUAAUUACAAUAUCAAAUCAAGCAUGAAAAGAGAAUAUAUUCAGAGGACUGUACAAGAUAUUUGUUGGAAAGUUGGCUUUAGUCAUUAAACCUAAAGUAGUUGUGAUUUUUUUUUUUUUUUACAUUAACAAAGCUCCUGAGUUUAUUUUCUUGCUAGAAGCACCAAAAUACAAACCUAUAUAUUUUUUGGUGAUUUUUUUUUCUUUUUCAUUAUAGUAAUUUUUACUAUAAAUUGUCUUUGGAAGUCGGCACAAGUGUCGUGGGCAAUGUAAGAUAAACAGGACUGACAUUCAACCUGACCUAGGGCAAGGGAUGAGUCUCUCUUUUCAGACUUAUGAGCAAAGAACAAAACUAGUAGACACCCAGGAAUUCCCAAGACACGUACACCCCCGAACCUCACAAUGAGAUGAUGUAUUUAUUGCCUCUGGAUCUGGACUCCAGCAAGCCCGGGUUUGAACUUCUUUGUAGUCCUUUUGCACCUGUGUGAUCCCAGACCUCCACAUGGCUGGAAAUGGGGUUUAAAUUACAAAAAAAUAGCCAGGCAUGGUAGAGCAUGCCUAUAAUCCCAGCACUUGGGGACUAAGCAGCUAAGGCAGGAAGAUUGCAAGUUCAAGGCCAGCACGAGCUAUAUGUCAAGACCCCGUCUCCAAAAAAAAGUUACCAAAAGGUUGCACUUCUUUGGCCCUGGCCUGUUUUAAUUGUAAUGGGUCCUAAAAACCAUGUGUGUUAGGUUUCACCAAAGACAAGAAAACAAGGGCCACAUUACAUUUCACGCCUCUCCACGUGUCCAACGCAGACCAAGACCCCUGGCGAACACAAGACAUUCAAGUGUCUUGGCUGCACGAUCACCAGAGAUGCUAUGAGCAGCCCCGCCUGGGCCCACUUUCUACCCCCACAGCAAGACUCCAGUUGGCUCGCCUAACUGAAGCACCUGGGGAGCUGUUAACCACAACACUAGAGAUAGAAACCAACCGAGGAUGAAAUGCGGACAGCUACAAGUGCUACAGUUAUGUUAUGACAAAUGCCACUGUCAAUCCAGUUGGCAGAUGUGACCACCACAUGGUCCUUGGAGACCAGAUUCUCAGGUGAACUUCAAUCAGAUGGUGGCU